GGGAAAGUAGCUCAGGGGCUAGAGCGCUGCGCUCAUAACGCAGAGGUCCCGGGUUCAAUUCCCGGCUUUCCCA
rnacentral:tRNA from 1 species